UCUGGUGAUGAUGGCAGAGGGGAUACACGCGUACCCAUCCCGAACACGACCGUUAAGCCCUCUAGCGCCGAUGGUACUUGGAACGCAGGUUCUUGGGAGAGUAGGACGUUGCCAGAC
rnacentral:rRNA from 1 species